GAUGAACGCUGACAGAAUGCUUAACACAUGCAAGUCAACUUGAAUUUGGGUUUUUAACUUAGGUUUGGGUGGCGGACGGGUGAGUAACGCGUAAAGAACUUGCCUCACAGCUAGGGACAACAUUUGGAAACGAAUGCUAAUACCUAAUAUUAGGAUAAUAGGGCAUCCUAUAGUUAUGAAAGCUAUAAGCGCUGUGAGAGGGCUUUGCGUCCCAUCAGCUAGUUGGAGAGGUAACGGCUCACCAAGGCGAUGAUGGGUAGCCGGCCUGAGAGGGUGAUCGGCCACAAGGGGACUGAGACACGGCCCAGACUCCUACGGGAGGCAGCAGUGGGGAAUAUUGGACAAUGGACGAAGGGUCGGAGCAGGAAAUUCUGUGGGGAGGAUGAAGCUUUUCGGAAGUAAAAGUGUUUUCAGUUGGGAAAAAAGAAAGGACGGGUACAAGAGAAGGAAGGACGGCCUAAUUACGU
rnacentral:rRNA from 1 species